GCGUAGGAAUAUACCUAGUAGUGGGGGAUAGCCCGGGGAAACUCGGAUUAAUACCGCAUAUGUCUUAUGAGAUAAAGAGGGCCUCUUCUUGAAAGCUCUUGCUAUUAGAUUAGCCUGCGUCGGAUUAGCUUGUUGGCGGGGUAAUGGCCCACCAAGGCGACGAUCCGUAGCUGGUCUGAGAGGAUGAUCAGCCACACUGGGACUGAGACACGGCCCAGACUCCUACGGGAGGCAGCAGUGGGGAAUAUUGGACAAUGGGCGCAAGCCUGAUCCAGCAAUACCUCGUGUGUGAAGAAGGCC
rnacentral:rRNA from 1 species